rnacentral:rRNA from 1 species
GUCUAAGUAUAAGCACUUGUACUGUGAAACUGCGAAUGGCUCAUUAAAUCAGUUAUCGUUUAUUUGAUCGUACCUUUACUACUUGGAUAACCGUGGUAAUUCUAGAGCUAAUACAUGCGAAAAGUCCCGACUUCUGGAAGGGAUGUAUUUAUUAGAUUCAAAACCAAUGCGGGUUCUGCCCGGUCAUUUGGUGAUUCAUAGUAACUGUUCGAAUCGCAGGGCCUCGCGCCGGCGAUGUUUCAUUCAUACCCUUUUAUUUCUCACCUGGG